CUCGUGGUUGUGCUUGCCCUCGUACGUGGUGAUCACGGACUUGAGGUCGUGCGACGCGCGCUCCACGUGCUUCCGCACCGAGCACCCCGGGUGCGUGCACUUGUAGUAGCUCCUGCAAUGCAAGCAGGAACAUCUCUGCUUGGUGCUGAUGGGUGCUGACUGUUGGGUAGAGAUCCCUGAAGGCAAAGGAACAGUGCAAGGAACAAGACUAUAUACAGUUUCACAUAACUGCUCACCUUCUUUCCUUCAGCAGUGUACUGUGAUGAUUUUAGGUCCAAAGGCUUGAAAGAAAAUGCACCGGGACGAUCUUCAAUUGAGGGAGGUUCAAGCCUAGUAUUAUUGUUGUUAUUGGUGUCACCAAGCAUGAGUAACUUCCCCGUGGUUGGCGAGGACUGGCCCUGAAUCACAGCAUUAGAAAACAUUCAGUCUGAAGCUGGAGAAAAUCACAACUAUGGAAAUUUAAACACAAUGCAUACCAUGGCAUUGGAGAGGAACACGGGCGAUUCCAGCAGCGACGCCGGGCUGAGGCCGGGCGGGAUGGUCAGG